rnacentral:lncRNA from 1 species
GCCCGGCCGCGGUGGUGGGCGGGAGGAUGGUGGGCGGGCUCCGAGCCCAGCUCCACUGGCCCCGGCCGCGGGGCUCGCCCCUCCGUCCCCAAACGACCGUCUCCGCUGCCAUGAGAUGCCGACAGCCUGUGCGCUGGCCGCCACCCCCUGCUCCAUCAGGUGCUGGAAUCUGAGUAAAAGCCUGGGCGCGAGCUCCCAGCCCCGGGGCCUGCCACCGGCUCCACGAAGCGGGCAGCUCCAGCGGCCGCCGGGAGAAGGAAGGGCGACCGGGGGAGACGGGUCGCAGGGACAGCACGUGGCGGAAAGUUAGCCCCGGACUAGCACGCCCCACCCGGAGAAGCCGGCCUGGAAGGGGCUGCGGACCACCAGGCGGAGCGGUGGGCGACCGAAGUGCGGCUGGGCUGGCCUCCUCGUCUCCGCACUGGAAGAAUUGCCCUUCCGCAAGUCUUCCCUUCCCACAUGGGGGCCCUCCAGGCCGCACCUCGGUCGCCCACCGCUUCCCUUGAGAAGGGAGACUAAAGACAGGCAUCUGGAAGCUGUCACUGUGGCGCGCGGGCAGACAGGGGAUCCCAUUGGAGAGGAAGAGCCGUAGUAGUCGCUGCUGCCUUCGGCCGACCCAACGGCCGCCUGCUUGGGAGGAAGAAAAAGAACGCCCCCGCUGAAGAAUUAAGGCAGCCAUUGGUUGCUCUAGGGGAGAUGACUACGGGAAGUGUGAAUACCAGAAGGCAAGAUCACUAGAAACUAUCAUGGAGGCCGAACACCACAGGGUUACAAGAUGGGCAGUACAAUAGAGGAUGGACUGGAGUUGGAAAAGACUAAAGCAGCAAGUUUGAUAAGGAGGCUACAGCAAUAGUCCAGGUGAAAGACGCAAGAGCCCAAAAUGCAGCAGUGGCCAAGGGAAUGGAUCUGAGAUAAAGUUCAGAAGAUAGAGUUGGCAGGGCAGGUGAGUUUAUCUUUAAUCCAGGAGAAGAGAAGAAGGCCACAUGAAGAUGGAGCAAGAGAUUGGAGUGAUGUGGCCACAAGCCAAGGAAGCUGAGGAAUGAAGACAGCUAUCAGAAGCUGGAAGAGGAAAAGAAUUCUCUCUUGGGGUCUGCAGAGGGAGAACAGCCCUGCCAACACUUCCAUUUCCAAUGUCUGGACUCUAGAACUGUGAGAAAAUAAAUUCCCAUUAUUUUAAGGAACACAGUUUGUGAUACUGCAUUACAGCAGCUCCAUGAAACAAAUACAUUUUGUUAUUCCAAGUCCUCUUCACAACAAAGUCUUUGCUAGUGGUGAACCAAACACAGUCCCACCAUCAUGAGCCACUGUUCUGGAUGAGGGGGCAACACAGUUCAGACACUGGUCAUCUCUAUUUAAUGUCUAAUGGGCAUCUCAAACCUAACUUUCUCCCAGUGGAAAUGCCUGGAGGUACGUGGAGAUGGAAAGCUGACCUAGCCAAGGAGUUCAGCAAAGAUCCCUGGGAGGAGGUGACAUCUGGACAUCUGCACAGAAUAAUGAGGCUGGGCUAAGGCAGUGACUGAGGGAGGCACUCUUUUUUGGUUUUUCUUUUCUUUUCUUUUGUGUAGGAAGGAAAGAAUAGCCAGGAGAGAUAGAGGAGAAAGAGGAUAAAGAUAGACAGGAAAGAGGUAACACAAGAAGUCAGGACCUGCGCUUGAGGGGCAGAAGUCAAGUCGGGCUAAGGUGAGAAGGCAGAACAGGGUUCAGGGUCUUUGAAGAGAAACAAGUACAGAGCUGGAACUAAGUGAUGCUGACUCCAGACUAAAACCCUCUGGGUUUGAAUCCUGCCUCUGCCACUUACUUAUUCAUUACAAAAUAGCGAGAAAUUACAUUAUCUGGAUCUUGGUCUCUUCAACUAUAAAACAAAAAUAAUAAUAGCUCCUAUCUCAUAGGAUGCUAUUAGGAGUACUAAGUAUAUUAACACCUGUAAAGCACUUGGCUCAAUGUCUGGCACUGCAUAUGCAAUAAAUGUCAUUAUUACUAUUAACAUUAUUAGAAGAAGCAGCAAAUUUAAAAUCAGAAUGUGAGCACUGGAAAGGACUUCAGAAUCAACUAAUCUAAUUCCCCCAUUGUACAAAUGAACAGACUGAGGCCCAGAGAGGUUUGAAAUUGGCCAAAUUUAAGGAGAUAGGAACAGAGCCGAGAUGACAAAAUUGCUUGAAAGUCUGUGCUUUUUCUAGGUGAACUAUACAUAUAUAUUUGGGAAUCAUAAGAAUAUAAGCAGUGAUUGAAUCUGAGGAAAUAGAGUUACUCAGGAAGAACACAAGAAUUAGUACAGAAUGCUGAAAGAAGAAUGAAAAUAGAUUUGAAGUCAACUUGAUUCAAAUAUCCCAAUGUAAUGGUAUUAGGAAGUGGUGCCUUUUUGAGGUAAUUGGGUCAUGAGGGUGGAGUCCUCAUGAGUGGGAUUAGGGCCCUUAUAAGGGGCUGAAGAGACCAGAGUUUUCCCUUCCACCAACUGAAGACUCAUAUAGAAGGUACUAUUUAUGAACCAGAGGGUAGGUCCUCAGCAGACACCAAAUCUGCUGCAACCUUGAUCUUGGACUUCCCAGUCUCCAGAAAUGUGAGAAACAAAUUUCUAUUGUUUAAAAGCCACCCAGUUUAUAGUAUUUUGUUAUAGCAGCCUGAAUGGGCUAAGACACCAUUAAACUUUGAAACUUGGUUUUUCCACAUGUAAAAUCAGGAUACACGUAGAAAACCUGCUGAUGCCUUUAAAAAAUUUUAAACCCAUAUGUUCUAAAGUUGGUAACAGAGGAAGACUUUCCACAAGAUGGAGGAAAGUCUUUUACUCCAGAUCUUAAAAUUAACCUUACUCUUGGGGUAUAAGGUUACUCACACUAAUGUCUGCUGGAGCCACAAUCAGCAAACUGGCUUUAGGGGUACAAAGCAUGGAUUUUACAGUUUCUCUCAUUGCCAUAGUAUGGUUGAGACAGCUUAUAAUAUUUAUGCAAGAUACUACUAAAGAUGGACCCCUCAUGUUGGAGCUGGACAUAGGACUUUUUUCUUCUCUUUCUAGAUUUCUUCCAUAGAUACAUUCAUCUAAUCCCAUAGCUUUAAAAUACCACCUCAAAGCCAAAGACUCAAAUUUAUACCUCUAGCUCUGACCUACUCCUGAGCUCCAGACUUAUAUGUCCAAUUGCUUGCUCUAGAUUAUUACUUAGAUAUCUAAUGGUCAUUCAAAUAUAACAUUUCCAAAAUGGGAUGCUUGACUUCCUGCUCCCAAACCAGUUCUUCCUGCAAUAUUCUCAAUCUUGGUAAACUUAUAUCCAAUUGAUAUAGUUUGGAUAUCUGUACCCACCCAAAUCUCAGGUUGAAUUGUAAUCCCCAGUGCUGGAG